rnacentral:tRNA from 1 species
GGCCGCGUGGCGCAAUGGACAACGAGUCGGUCUACGAAACCGAGGGUUCCAGAAUCGAAUCCUGCCGUGGUCG